UUUGCUAGAAUCCCCUUGAGCGUACGGUUCCAGACUAGAGCAUGUGGACAGGAGGCACCCUUGAGUCAGAGCGAUGGAGAGGCCAUUAUUCUCCGUCUGUUUUAGCCAGAACGGUGAGCGGAUGUGAUACUCGGAGAAACUUCAAGGUGGAAGGGGAAUGACACCAGAUGGUAACUUGGAUUCAGUGGAUGCAAUAAAGAGCACAGGAAAUGAAUUGUCAAGGUCACGAAAAUCAAGGAAAGACUGAGGAACUGUUCUAGUCUGAAGGACAC